rnacentral:rRNA from 1 species
UACGGGGGGGCAAGCGUUGUUCGGAAUUACUGGGCGUAAAGGGCUCGUAGGUGGCCAACUAAGUCAGACGUGAAAUCCCUCGGCUUAACCGGGGAACUGCGUCUGAUACUGGUUGGCUUGAGAUUGGGAGAGGGACGCGGAAUUCCAGGUGUAGCGGUGAAAUGCGUAGAUAUCUGGAGGAACACCGGUGGCGAAGGCGGCAUCCUGGACCGAUAUUGACGCUGAGGAGCGAAAGCCAGGGGAGCAAACGGG